UACGGAGGGGGCAAGCGUUGUUCGGAAUUACUGGGCGUAAAGGGCGCGCAGGCGGCUGCUCAAGUCAGGCGUGAAAGGCCUGGGCUCAACCCGGGAAUUGCGCUUGAGACUGGGCUGGCUUGAGUGCGGGAGAGGAUGGUGGAAUUCCCAGUGUAGAGGUGAAAUUCGUAGAUAUUGGGAAGAACACCGGUGGCGAAGGCGGCCAUCUGGACCGCAACUGACGCUGAGGCGCGAAAAGCGUGGGGAGCAAACAGGGAU
rnacentral:rRNA from 1 species